rnacentral:pre_miRNA from 1 species
AUUUUAGUAUGACUAUAUCCCAUGCAAUAUUUGGGAAAUACUUAUACUUAAA